rnacentral:misc_RNA from 1 species
AAGUCGUAACAAGGUUUCCGUAGGUGAACCUGCGGAAGGAUCAUUAGCGAGUGGUUUUCCCGCGAGGGAGCUGCCCGACCUGUUGUCAUUUGCGCCGGGGGUGGGGGAUGUGUCGGCGAGAGGGUACCCGGAGGGGACGUUUGUCUCGGAAGGGGGGCCUGGGGCCGGCGCACCGCCGCACCGGGAUUUAAACUUCGGCGGAAGAGGCAGGCGUCGACCUGCCCGCCGCCGGCGGCAAGUCUUUAGAUCUUGAGGAGAAGCUGAAGUCUGAAGAAGUGAAAAACGAAGAAGAAGCAAAACUUUCAACAACGGAUCUCUUGGCUCUG